UCCAAUCUCCUGAUAGCUUCAGGUCCAGG
rnacentral:piRNA from 1 species